GGAGAGGUCGCAUAGUGGCCUAGUGCGCACGCUUGGAAAGCGUGUAACGUCGCAAGGCGUUCGAGGGUUCGAAUCCCUCCCUCUCCGCCA
rnacentral:tRNA from 1 species